rnacentral:lncRNA from 1 species
UGACAAAAUGACAUUGAUGUGUUCAUGCACUAUUAUCACCAAUUUGACUCCUAGCAUGAAUCAUCGCAAGUCUUAUCGACCAACUUGAACGUAGGCGCAAGCAAACAACCCAGUACAUCAGCUCGCAUCGAUGCGUCCUGAAUUGACCUCCAUUCCUGGAAACGGAUGGCUCGUGCUUGGAACCCGGCGAUGAAACAGAUGGGAACCUUCGAAAUAUUACUUUAAAAAGGAACCAAGACGAGAAAGAGGACGUGGACGUCGCGGCUGCGGCCAACCACGAACGUGAAAAACGCCGCUUUGCCGCUCGAACGGACCUGAUUCCUCCAGUCCUCGGUCGCUCCUGGCUGUCACGCCACUCCACUCGAAAAAGCGACCCACUUUAAAAAUAUAAGGGAUCCACAAUUAUCCGGGUCUGGUGGCCCAGGGAGUAGUCGUAUGCGAUGGACCGGUUCCGAAUGUGGUUCCAUAAGCUUUGCCAAUGGGUCCCACUUGUACGU